GUGAAUUUCUAAACUUCUUCCAUGGUGAAUGUAUGAGAGGUUUAGAGAGAGAGAGAAGGAAAAUAAGCAAAAUCACCAUCAAAAUCACCUUUUUAUUUCAAAGUACCUUCAUAAAAGUUGUUCUUCUCUUCAAGAAUAAUAAUCCUAUAGUUUUAGAUUCUUGAGAAGAGGAGUUCAGUGCAGCCAAGAACUGUGGAAGUGGGAGAAUCUAAGAAAAAGUUAUAACAAAGGAAAGAGGAUUAUGAUGAUAUUAAGAUCAUGGAAAUGAUGUUGAAAGAAGUUUAGGCAUGAUAAAACAAGAAUUUAGCAAGCCUUGUGAAAAUUGAAAAGCUUGAAUUUAAGUGGAGGUGCUGUCCAGUUUUCUUCAAGAUAAAGCCAUGGAUUUAAUCAAGUGUAAGUUCAUUAAACAUGAUUUAAAACCGAGGCUUGGGCCAUGAAAAUAUGAAGCAUGAAAAUAGUUUGGAUGAAGCAACCUCAAUCUAGGUCUCAAAUACCCAUAAUCGCUUUCAAGGAUGGUUCAAAAGGAAAGAGGUUGAAUUUGUCAAAUCUGAGUUUAAAAAUGAGUUCUUUAUGAAAAAUUAAGUGGAAAAAUGAUUGUACAAGAAAAAAAUUCAUGUAAAAUCUUGACAUAUAGAGUGUAAGAAUUAAAUAAAGAGUAAGUUAUUAUAUAUUAAUAAUGUAAUUAUUUACUCUAACAAUUAUCAUAAAUAUUUUAUGACAAAUAUUCAGGGCUAAUGAGUGUCAUGAAAAACGAAUCGGAGGUUUGGUCAUGAGAGAUUAAAUUGAAGCAGGGAAAACAAAGAAAAAAUAAUAAAGCCAAAAAAUAGUAAACUUGAUGUCACAUGUUAGUUAUAAAGUCAUGUAAUACAAAAAUAUGUUAUGUCUGAAACUUUUUCCUUGUAUGCUUAAAUGGUAUUAUUUAAUGCUAAGGUUUUCUUAAAUCUCACCCCCAAUAACUAACCAUGUUGGGUUAUAAACUUUCAAAGGAAGAGCUAGAGUAAGGAGUGAAGGUAAGUGGAUUAGGAGAUAAUUUUCUCUAUGGCAUUAUUUUUAUAGAAAUAAAAAAUGUAUAAAUAAGUUCAUAAAUUAUGUAAUUUAUGAUGAGAUUUUUGCAUGUAUAAGUGAUAUGUGUUGAUGUA